UGCUGGAGGUAUCAGAAGUGCGAAUGCUGACAUAAGUAACGAUAAAGCGGGUGAAAAGCCCGCUCGCCGGAAGACCAAGGGUUCCUGUCCAACGUUAAUCGGGGCAGGGUGAGUCGACCCCUAAGGCGAGGCCGAGAGGCGUAGUCGAUGGGAAAUUGGUUAAUAUUCCAAUACUUCUGUGUAAUGCGAUGAGAGGACGGAGAAGGUUAAGUCAGCCUGGCGUUGGUUGUCCAGGUGGAAGGUUGUAGGCAUGUAUCUUAGGCAAAUCCGGGGUACUCUAUGCUGAGAACUGAUAGCAAGCUGUACUUGUACAGUGAAGUGGCUGAUACCAUGCUUCCAGGAAAA
rnacentral:rRNA from 1 species